rnacentral:rRNA from 1 species
AUACGUAAGUGGCGAGCGUUGUCCGGAAUUACUGGGCGUAAAGGAUGCGUAGGUGGAUACUUAAGUGGGAUGUGAAAUCCCCGGGCUCAACCCGGGAACUGCAUUCCAAACUGGGUAUCUAGAGUGCAGGAGAGGAAAGCGGAAUUCCUAGUGUAGCGGUGAAAUGCGUAGAUAUUAGGAGGAACACCAGUGGCGAAGGCGGCUUUCUGGACUGUAACUGACACUGAGGCAUGAAAGCGUGGGGAGC